AUUGAACGCUGGCGGCAGGCCUAACACAUGCAAGUCGAGCGGAUGAAGGGAGCUUGCUCCUGGAUUCAGCGGCGGACGGGUGAGUAAUGCCUAGGAAUCUGCCUGGUAGUGGGGGAUAACGUCCGGAAACGGGCGCUAAUACCGCAUACGUCCUGCGGGAGAAAGUGGGGGAUCUUCGGACCUCAUGCUAUCAGAUGAGUCUAGGUCGGAUUAGUGAGCUGGUGGGGUAAAGGCCUACUAAGGCGACGAUCCGUAACUGGGCUGAGAGGAUGAUCAGUCACACUGGAGCUGAGACGCGGUCCAGACUCCUACGGGAGGCAGCAGUGGGGAAUGUUGGACGAAGGGCGAAAGCCUGAUCCAGCCAUGCCACGUGUGUGAAGAAGGGCUUCGGAUGGUAAAGCGCUUUAAGUUGGGAAGAAGGGCAGUAAGUUAAUACCUUGCUGUUUUGACGUUACCAACAGAGUAAGCACCGGCUAACUUCGU
rnacentral:rRNA from 1 species